UGCCAGAGCCAUAUCUCCCUGCAGCUCUCGCCUGGUUUCCCACUGAAGCAGGGGGACAAACCCCACAAAGCAGGGUUUAGCCUGGUCAGUACGUGGAUGGGAGACCAACUGGGGAAAACUGAGGUUGCUGCAG
ensembl:rRNA 5S_rRNA 5S ribosomal RNA